rnacentral:misc_RNA from 1 species
CUACCUGUGGGAAGAAGUUCAACGAUAAGUCAAAUUUAAAAUGGGAAUUUUCUUGUGGCGAAUGCCAUGAGAAAUUUGACAGUGUGAAUGCACUUCGUNCCCACCUGGAUACAGCUCACCCUACACCCUCCACACGUGGAACCAAGANGAAAAACGAUUCUCCACAGAAAAUCUCAAACAAGAAACAGAAAAAGGAUAAGAAUUCUUCUGAACAAGAUAUUAGCAAGCCACAACAGCAAGUAAUUACAAACNGGCCCGCUGGCCCACCCAACCAUGCCACCCACUCUGGUCUUGAAUGUGGAUGAAGUCACGCGAGACACGUCAAGUAUUGUUUAAUUUCGGCAAACCAAGUUAAAACAAAAAAGAAAAUAAGAGAGACACGGACGCACACACAAGAAAUAAAAUACUUGUGUGGUAUAAANGUUAAAAAUAGAAUUCCCAACACUUUAACAGAAAAAAAGUUUGCUAUAGAUAAGUUUUUAUCGCAUAAAAA